GGAGGAGCAUGUGGUUUAAUUCGAUGAUACGCGAGGAACCUUACCUGGGCUCGAACGUAAGAUGACUGUAGGUGAAAGCUUACAUCUCUUCGGAGCAUUUUUACGAGGUGCUGCAUGGUUGUCGUCAGCUCGUGCCGUGAGGUGUCGGGUUAAGUCCCAUAACGAGCGCAACCCUACCUUUAGUUGCCAUCAGGUAAUGCUGGGGACUCUAAAGGAACUGCCUACGCAAGUAGUGAGGAAGGCGGGGAUGACGUCAAAUCAGCACGGCCCUUACGUCCAGGGCUACACACGUGCUACAAUGGCCGAUACAGAGGGCAGCUACCUGGUGACAGGAUGCAAAUCUCCAAAGUCGGUCUCAGUUCGGAUCGGAGUCUGCAACCCGACUCCGUGAAGUUGGAUUCGCUAGUAAUCGCGCAUCAGCCAUGGCGCGGUGAAUACGUUCCCGGGCCUU
rnacentral:rRNA from 1 species